CCGAAUAUUCAUGUAUUAUUGUAGCUGGCUUCUCAGAUCCUUUCUGUGGAAUGGGACACAGGAGAGAGAAACCUGGAAUCGGCACAGUACCUGGCUCACAAAUAAGGAGUUCCCUGAGACAGGAGACAAGCCCAAGACCCAGAGACAGUGUUCCUGCCUUCUUCUGGUCUUAGCCAGCUUUGAACUGUGGUAACUACCGAGCGGGGGAGGGAGGCACUUCAGCUCCUACAAGAAGUUUCGCUUCAGCCUCAAUGCCAGUUCUAGCUCCAGCUACAAACCGCACCUCAGAUCCAAUCUUCCACAUGUUUUUCUCUGAUCCCAACAGGCAUAUGGCUGGCUAUGUGACAUGGGUCAGCAUCAAGUUUCCUGUAGUUACACAGAGGCCCAAUGAGUUAGAGGGUAUGCCAGAUGUUUGUGCUUAGUUCAGGGGAGGGGAACUAACCUAUCCCUGCUGAACACAUUCCAAGAAAACACAGGCCUGGACUGUACCAUGAAGAGCUUAGGUUAGAGGGGAGAAGCUACAGGCAGAUUUGGAAUCAGAAGCCCUGGGUUUGAAUCCUGACUCUGUUAUCACCAUGAAGUGUAGGUAGAGCUGGUAAAGAAAAACCUUUGAGAUUA